GAUCCGCAGGAGCAGCUAGAGCUGGUGGCUGCCGGCCGACGCGGGCUUGUCAAAAGGAGCAUUCAGGCUGGAGGCGGCGGCUGACGCCAUCCGUCUGACACUCUCGCGAGAUCUCCGCUGUGAUCCCCCAGAAGCCUUUGCCUGCCCUGUAGAAGGCGCAGAGCGCAGGCGCACACUCCGUCCCGCCCUUGCACAGUGUCCUUUCGCCCUCCGUGAAUAAAUCAAAUUAAAUGAA